CACAAUUUUUGGAAUUUUUGAGACACAGAUAAACUUCAGGUGAUCGAGGUCAGCUAUUUUUCUGCAUCCAGCAGCCACAAUAGUCAUCGGUAUACUGCCACAGGAGGAGUUAUUUUAUAGAGCAACCUGUUUUCUUCCUCGCAGGUUUAACGUCGAUUAUUUAAUUGUUUUACUAUCUUUUCUAAAUUUAAAAAUCUAGAACUCCGCAUGUGUUAGUAAUAGUGUGGACCUUGUUAGAAAUUGUGUUAAUUUAAAUUUUUGAAAUUAAUAAAUGAAGAUUUGUAUGGUAUUUAAACAGUUUGUAAAUGAGGUAACAGGGUUGAGCUGGGCUCCCCUGAUUUUAGUUUCUGAAAAUUUCUAGGUUAAAUUGGCUCAAAA